GAGAAGUUCCAGGAUAAAGCUGUGACCUUACCCCGACAGUCACCUAUCCACACUGAACUGGAGAACCCAGACCUUCAAGAAGAAAGUCUCUAGAAAGAAUUUGAAAACAAAACAUUUGACCUUAUGGAAAAUUAUAAUGAGAAGUUACAAGGCUGUGGAAAGAAAAUUAAUCAAAUCACAAGAGAAGGUUGGUAUCUGCAAGGCCAGGUGAAAUCCUUUUGUGUCUUUCCACAUCCCGCCUGUAAGUCUUCAACUUCAGACGAAGGCGAUCACCACCUCACACGCAUGGGUCUGGAUGCUUCACCCUUCUCCCGUGCCCUCUCCCCACUAUCACUGCCAGAAGCCAAAUGACUAUAUGAAAAGAGAACAGGUGCAGAAACAAAGAGGGAUCAACGUUCAGAUCUUAACUGGACCACUUUUUAAUGUGUGAUUAACACUGAGAGAGUCACUUUGCAAGCUCCACUUUCCCACCUUUUAGGUUUUGGCCAAGAUAAAGGAAAAGGAACCAGAUUUAUAUUCUCUCCUGAAACAAUCAGGAAAAAAAAAAAAAAAGACAAAAUAUUUGAAAAACCUGGACCAGAACCUGGACAUCAGAAAGUGAAGGACUAUGAUGCCUAAAAGACAGGAUUUAACAAAUGAAAUAAGCCUUAAAUUUGUCUCUGUGUACUCUGUUGAGAGAGUCGGAAGGCAGGGUAAUCCCAGAGGAUUCUCUGGGCUGGGGAGAUGGAGAUAAAUGUCUGGGGAGACCAACAUGAUCAGAGAACACAAAAUUUUAAAAAUGAUUCAAUUUAUAAUGAGACCAAGAACAUCAAAUAACUAGGUAUAAAUCUAAAGAAAAAUGUAUACUUAAUUAUUCACUGUAAACUCAUAUGAACUAUUGAGAAAAUUUAAAGAAUACCCAAAUAAAUGGGAAGAUAUACCAUAUUCAUUAAUUAGAAGACUCAAUAUUGUUAACAUGUCAAGACGACUUCAC
rnacentral:lncRNA from 1 species